UCGGUUCCCACACCCAGGAAUUCAGGUUUGGGUGCUUCAGGAAAGAGUGAGGGGACGCUGGGACUAGUGCCUAGCCUCUGCCAAGAGAUGGUGACAGCUAGAAGAAGCCAGACCAACUGAAACUAAGGAGCCAAGGGAACAGCGUGGGGACCGACAGGCGGCCUGCGGGGGCAGCCGGAGCCCCCGGUCUGCUGGGAAGGGCAGCUGAUCAGCCACACUGGCCCAGUGUGAAAACUCACCCCUGGGAACCGACACUCGCCCUGCGACCAGACUUGCUUUUCCUUCCCUGAAGCUCUGCCAGUUCGCCCUGGUCCUGAGAACGCCUCCCCCACCGCCACCCCUCCUACCUCAGGCCUGGGGCGGCCCUGGCUGCGCUCCCAGGAUGAGUCUGACUGGCAGAGCGGGGAUGGGCCCCAGAGAAAUGUACUGCGUGUCAGAGCCUGUGCCAGGAUGGGGGGCCAGCUCCCCUCCCCAGCCACCUCCCAGCGCGGGCUUCCCCAACAGCCCCUCCCAGAUGCACACAAAAGGGGGCCACAUCCCUGCCGCCAGGUCCUGGUGGGGUCGACACCCCCCCUACGGCAUCGCCCUUUUAAGAGGUCCCCCCCUUGGGGGCCAGGGUGCUGCCUUGUGCUCCGGCAGGUUCUGCCUGCAGAACCCCAGGAAGGGGCAGCUCCCCAGCCACCCCGCAGGGAAGGAGGAGACCCACGCCAGUCCUUCCAACUCUCAGCCGCCAGGUCCAGGGCUGCGGGACAGAGCCUUCCUGCCAGGUCCUGCCUCGCCCAUCAAACGAGGACCCCAUCUUCCCCUCAAAAAUACCAGAAGAGAGGAACUUUGCAGGCUCCGCUCCCUCAUCGGCAUUCCCAGCCUUCCUAGGCCCCGCUCCCCUCGGAAGGCAGGUGAAAUGUGCCAGCCAGAAGGGGCAGCUCGAGCCAAGGGCCAGAGCAGGCUUAUCUCAGCUACAAAGGGAGAGGUGCACGGAGGGCUGCUCUUCCCCGACGUGCUUGCUGGCGCCUUCAUCAGAAACGAGAGCCUCCUUGCCCAAGCCCGAUUCAAGGCAUGAUCACCAGGUAUANNNNNNNNNNNNNNNNNNNNNNNNNNNNNNNNNNNNNNNNNNNNNNNNNNCAACCGAGACCCACGCCCUCUCCUUUGCCCCUAGGGAGAAAGGAAAGCUGGCUUCCCCGCCUCACGCACCACCGCAUGGUCACUCAGGGGCGGCCUGGCCUACUGCUCCGCUGCUGUGACCAGAGGGCCUUAGCGCAACUGGUCCCGUGCCUUUCAGGCUGGGGUCACCAGGCCCUCAGGGCAGCCCGGGGGAUUUCUUGGUUGGGACAAGAGUGCAGAGGCCCUCAUCCCCUACUUCAACCCAGCGGCACCACUUUCUUAUUUUAAAUUGUAGUAACAUACAUACUACACAAAAUUUCCCAUAUUCACUUUCAAGUAUACAGUGGUAUUAAUUAUUUCACAAUGUUAUCUUUUUUUUUUUUAAGAUUUAUUUCUUUUCCCACCUUCCCCUCCUCCUGCCCUGCUGUUUUUUUUUUUUGCUGUCUGUGUUAUCUUCUCUUCUCAUUUUCUCUCCUCUAGGAUCCACCGGGAUUUGAUUCUGGAGACCUCUGAUGGGGAGAAAGGCUCCCUGUCAAUUAUGCCACCUCAGUUCCUGGUCUCACUGUGCUUCACCUUGACUCUCCCCUUGUUUCUCUUUUGCUGUGUCAUCAUCUUGCUGUGUGACUCACUUGUGCGGGCACUGGCUCACCACUGCACAGGCAUUUGUGCGGGCACUGGCUUGCCACGCAGGCACACUUUCUCUUCUUUUCACCAGGAGGCCUCAGGGAUUGAACCCAGGUCCUCCCAUAUGGUAGGUGGAAGCUCUAUCAUUUGAGUCAUAUCCACUUCCUUUUUAUUUUGGGAGCCUCUACUCAGAUUUCAUUGGGGAAAAAAAGAGUUCUACUGCUAAACAAAUCUGAAAACCAGGCGGCGGACUUGGCCCAGUGGAUAGGGCGUCUGUCUACCACAUGGGAGGUCCAUGGUUCAAACCCCGGGCCUCCUUGACCCGUGUGGAGCUGGCCCAUGUGCAGUGCGGAUGCGCGCAAGGAGUGCCCUGCCACACAGGGGUGUUCCCCGCGUAGGGGAGCCCCAUGUGCAAGGAGUGCACCCUGUAGGGAGAGCCGCCCAGCGCCAAAGAAAGUGCAGCCUGCCCAGGAAUGGCGCCGCACACACAGAGAGCUGACACAACAAGAUGAUGCAGCAAAAAGAAACAGAUUCCUGUGCCGCUGACAACAACAGAAGCGGACAAAGAAGAAGAUGCAGCAAAUGGACAGAAAACAGACAAUUGGGGUGGGUGGGGGGAGAGGAGAUAAAUAAAUAAAUCUUAAAAAAAAAAUUGAAAACAAUUUGCCUCCUGCAAGCC
rnacentral:lncRNA from 1 species